GCGCCGUUCAGAACGCCCGUGGCUUCCCCGCCUCCCGCAUCAUUGCGCAAUGCUCGACCACGCGGCUCGGCGCCAUUUUCAAAGCCAUAUGGCGGCGGCACAGUCUUUUCCACCGCCUGUAUCUCCGACAUAAUGGCUGCAUUUCGCGCCUCGUCCGCUAAUCCUUGCCACAACUCCCGCGCGCUCCUUCUCCCCUCUCCUGGUGAAGGUGCACCACGGGCACGCUGGAGCCCGGCGGGCGCCGGCAGGCAGCUGCAGGGAUGCCUCUCUCUGCCGGGCUCCUCCUCAUGAAGGACCCUUCCUGAGGCAUCACGUCUCAUCCUGUCUCCUUUCUGCGCUCCUUCCCCGCUCCCCUCCGGCCCGGGGAAAUGGAGGAAGACACAAAUACAACGAGGAAGAAAGAACAGUCUGCAGAGCUGCCCGAGCCAUCGCCCUGCCCGCAGUGGGGAUCAGCCAGCAGGAGGAGGCAGCUGCUUUUUCAGUCAGAAAGGUGAGAGGUGCAGGAAGGGGUUUCUUCCUUUGUCCUCUCUGCUGGCACUCCCUCUUUCUGCCUCUUGUGGCCUGUGUCUGCGGGGCUGGGGAACUUCAGCCCUUCUGGGGGCUGCCCCCCCUUCCUUGCAUGAGCAGAAUCCCUUUUUGGGGGAAUGGACCGUGGGAAGAGUUCGAAUAAAGUGCCGUGCUCCUGCCUGA